rnacentral:rRNA from 1 species
GACGAACGCUGGCGGCGUGCUUAACACAUGCAAGUCGAACGGAAAGGCCUGCUUUCCCUUGUGGAUUGCGGGUACUCGAGUGGCGAACGGGUGAGUAACACGUGAGUGAUCUGCCCCCAACUUGGGUAUAAGCCUGGGAAACUGGGUCUAAUUCCCGAUAGGACUGCAGGGUGGUGCCUGUGGUGGAAAACGAUUUUCUAGUGGUUGGGGAUGAGCUCGCGGCCUAUCAGCUUGUUGGUGGGGUAAUGGCCUACCAAGGCGGCGACGGGUAGCCGGCCUGAGAGGGUGGACGGCCACAUUGAGACUGAGAUACGGCCCAGACUCCUACGGGAGGCAGCAGUGGGGAAUAUUGCGCAAUGGGCGGAAGCCUGAUGCAGCGACGCCGCGUGGGGGAUGACGGCCUUCGGGUUGUAAACUCCUUUCGACCGCGAGGAAGCCACCUGGUUGGAAGGGUGGUGACGGUAGUGGUAGAAGAAGCACCGGCUAACUACGUG